AACGAACGCUGGCGGCGCGCCUAAUACAUGCAAGUCGAGCGAGAAGACGUAGCAAUACGUUUGUAAAGCGGCGAACGGGUGAGGAAUACAUGGGUAACCUACCCUCGAGUGGGGAAUAACUAGCCGAAAGGUUAGCUAAUACCGCGUACGCUCCUUGGACUUCGGUUCAGGGAGGAAAGCGAUACCGUGGGUAUCGCGCUCUUGGAUGGGCUCAUGUCCUAUCAGCUUGUUGGUGAGGAACGGCUCACCAAGGCUUCGACGGGUAGCUGGUCUGAGAGGACGAUCAGCCACACUGGCACUGCGACACGGGCCAGACUCCUACGGGAGGCAGCAGUAAGGAAUAUUGCGCAAUGGGCGAAAGCCUGACGCAGCGACGCCGCGUGGGGGAUGAAGGUCUUCGGAUUGUAAACCCCUUUCGGGAGGGAAGAUGGAACGAGCAAUCGUUCGGACGGUACCUCCAGAAGCAGCCACGGCUAACUUCGUGCCAGCAGCCGCCGUAA
rnacentral:rRNA from 1 species